ensembl:lncRNA novel transcript
GGAGGUUAUGUUCUUUCUCCAGGAUGGUGGAUUAUUAGGGUCAUGGAGCCUGACGCUGCCAGAACUUUUUUUCCCACCUCAUGGAAAGAAGAACUUCCUGGAAGGAAGGCAGGACUGAGAGUUGGAAUGAAAAUGACAGAGCCCUGUCCACACCGUUAAAGUACUCAAAUCCAGUAUGAAGAAAAUCUCCUAGUUCUACAAAUUGAGGACUAUGAUACAACGGUUGCAAAAAUGGUGUCUCCUUGAGGGUGCAUCUUUGUUCUCUCUGCACUCCAGAAAACCUGGAGAGAGGCUCUGGGUGUCUUGUCUUCAUCAGCAGCAUAGCGGCUAAAGGGGUCUCUGGAGCCUGGAUGGUUGGGUGUGACUCCUGGCUUUGCCACUGGCUCUCUGUGCUUACUUAACUUCCCUGUGUUUCAAUUUCCUUAUAUGGACAACGAGUCUAAUGUUACCACAUGCAAUAUUUUUGUAAACACUAAAUUUGUUCAUCUUG